rnacentral:rRNA from 1 species
AACGAACGCUGGCGGCGUGGAUAAGACAUGCAAGUCGAACGGGACAACAUCUGUAGCAAUACAGGUGUUGUUUAGUGGCGAACGGGUGCGUAACACGUGGGCAAUCUGCCGAGAAGUGGGGGAUAGCUCGCCGAAAGGCGAAUUAAUACCGCAUAUGAUCAGUGAAGACAUCUUCACGACAUCAAAGCCGGGGCAACCUGGCGCUUCUUGAUGAGCCCGCGGCCUAUCAGCUAGUUGGUGAGGUAACGGCUCACCAAGGCUAUGACGGGUAGCUGGUCUGAGAGGACGACCAGUCACACUGGAACUGAGACACGGUCCAGACACCUACGGGUGGCAGCAGUCGAGAAUUUUUC